GGUCCCUCCUUGAACCCGAGGCGGGGUGGGACGGCUGAUCAGUGCGGGAAGCUCCCGGUUCCCUGCGGCUCCGGUCCCGGCGCUGGCGCUCUGGGGCUCCCGCGGGGUGCGGAGCGGGCUCCCGCCGUGGCGGUCACUGGGCUCUCGCGGGCCGGCCUCCAGCUAGUGAGCCCGCUGUGCCAGGACGUCUGCAGGCCGCCAUCGCCUGUCCGUGGGCUGCUCUCCGCAGAGGGGUGCGGCUGCAGCCCGAAGCGGGGCCCAGGCACCGCCGUUGGGGAGGGGAGGUGGCGGUUCUGAGCUCGGGGGAGCCGCCUGGACCUCUACACCCAUCUUCUCCAGCCUCACCACCGCCCCACCCCGCCCCGACCAUGCCCUGCAGCAUUCUAGCAAAAUCCUGGAGAUAACAACCCCACGAGGAUGAGAAGCCUCCUGUCCUGGAUAAACCGAGUUCCUGGAACCUGACCAUGUCAACCUGAGUAAAUGCAUCAGGGCAAUCCAAGUCU